UACGUAGGGUGCAAGCGUUGUCCGGAAUUAUUGGGCGUAAAGAGCUCGUAGGCGGUCUGUCGCGUCUGCUGUGAAAACUCAGGGCUUAACCCUGAGCUUGCAGUGGGUACGGGCAGACUAGAGUGUGGUAGGGGAGACUGGAAUUCCUGGUGUAGCGGUGAAAUGCGCAGAUAUCAGGAGGAACACCGAUGGCGAAAGGCAGGUCUCCUGGGCCGACUAC
rnacentral:rRNA from 1 species